GUUUGAUCUGGCUCAGGAUGAACGCUGGCGGCGUGCCUAACACAUGCAAGUCGAGCGUGAUAUUCUGGAAUGAAACUUCGGUCGAAUGAAAGAAUUGAAAGCGGCGGACGGGUGAGUAACGCGUAGGCAACCUGCCCUUCACAGAGGGAUAGCCACUGGAAACGGUGAUUAAUACCUCAUAAUGCGAGAGAGUCACAUGGUUCUUUCGCCAAAGAUUUAUCGGUGAAGGAUGGGCCUGCGUCUGAUUAGCUAGUUGGUGAGGUAACGGCUCACCAAGGCAACGAUCAGUAGCCGACCUGAGAGGGUAAUCGGCCACAUUGGAACUGAGACACGGUCCAAACUCCUACGGGAGGCAGCAGUGGGGAAUAUUGCACAAUGGGCGCAAGCCUGAUGCAGCAACGCCGCGUGAACGAAGAAGGUCUUCGGAUUGUAAAGUUUUGUCCUUGGGGAAGAAACAAAUGACGGUACCCUUGGAGGAAGCCCCGGCUAACUACGUGCCAGCAGCCGCAGUAAUACGUAGGGGGCGAGCGUUAUCCGGAAUUAUUGGGCGUAAAGAGUACGUAGGUGGUUUUGUAAGCGCGGGGUGAAAGUCAGUGGCUCAACCAUUGUUAGCCUUGCAAACUGCAAGACUUGAGUGCAGGAGGGGAAAGUGGAAUUCCUAGUGUAGCGGUGAAAUGUUUAGAUAUUAGGAGGAACCCCAGUGGAGAAGGGGUCUUUCUGGACUGUAACUGACACUGAGGUACGAAAGCGUGGGGAGCAAACAGGAUUAGAUACCCUGGUAGUCCACGCCGUAAACGAUGAGCACUAGGCAUUGGGAUCGCAAGAUCUCGGUGCCGUAGUUAACGCAUUAAGUGCUCCGCCUGGGGAGUACGCACGCAAGUGUGAAACUCAAAGGAAUUGACGGGGACCCGCACAAGCAGCGGAGCAUGUGGUUUAAUUCGAAGCAACGCGAAGAACCUUACCAGGACUUGACAUCCCGAUGACCGCCCUUUAACAGGGGCUUCUCUUCGGAGCAUCGGUGACAGGUGGUGCAUGGUUGUCGUCAGCUCGUGUCGUGAGAUGUUGGGUUAAGUCCCGCAACGAGCGCAACCCUUGUUAUUAGUUGCCAGCACGUAAAGGUGGGCACUCUAGUGAGACUGCCGGGGACAACUCGGAGGAAGGUGGGGAUGACGUCAAAUCAUCAUGCCCCUUAUGUUCUGGGCUACACACGUGCUACAAUGGUCGGUACAGAGAGAAGCAAUACCGUGAGGUGGAGCAAAACUCUAAAACCGAUCCCAGUUCGGAUUGUAGGCUGCAACUCGCCUACAUGAAGUUGGAGUUGCUAGUAAUCGCGGAUCAGAAUGCCGCGGUGAAUGCGUUCCCGGGUCUUGUACACCCCGCCCGUCA
rnacentral:rRNA from 1 species